AGGAAUCUGCCUAUUAGUGGGGGACAACAUCUCGAAAGGGAUGCUAAUACCGCAUACGUCCUACGGGAGAAAGCAGGGGAUCUUCGGGCCUUGCGCUAAUAGAUGAGCCUAAGUCGGAUUAGCUAGUUGGUGGGGUAAAGGCCUACCAAGGCGACGAUCUGUAGCGGGUCUGAGAGGAUGAUCCGCCACACUGGGACUGAGACACGGCCCAGACUCCUACGGGAGGCAGCAGUGGGGAAUAUUGGACAAUGGGGGGAACCCUGAUCCAGCCAUGCCGCGUGUGUGAAGAAGGCCUUUUGGUUGUAAAGCACUUUAAGCGAGGAGGAGGCUACCGAGAUUAAUACUCUUGGAUAGUGGACGUUACUCGCAGAAUAAGCACCGGCUAACUCUGUGCCAGCAGCCGCGGUAAUACAGAGGGUGCAAGCGUUAAUCGGAUUUACUGGGCGUAAAGCGCGCGUAGGUGGCCAAUUAAGUCAAAUGUGAAAUCCCCGAGCUUAACUUGGGAAUUGCAUUCGAUACUGGUUGGCUAGAGUAUGGGAGAGGAUGGUAGAAUUCCAGGU
rnacentral:rRNA from 1 species